rnacentral:rRNA from 1 species
AUUGAACGCUGGCGGCAUGCUUUACACAUGCAAGUCGAACGGCAGCACGGGGGCAACCCUGGUGGCGAGUGGCGAACGGGUGAGUAACACAUCGGAACGUGCCCAGUUGUGGGGGAUAACCUAUCGAAAGGUAGGCUAAUACCGCAUGAGCUCGGCAAGAGGAAAGCGGGGGACUCAGCGAUGGGCCUCGCGCGACUGGAGCGGCCGAUGUCCGAUUAGCUAGUUGGUGGGGUAAAGGCUUACCAAGGCGACGAUCGGUAGCUGGUCUGAGAGGAUGAUCAGCCACACUGGGACUGAGACACGGCCCAGACUCCUACGGGAGGCAGCAGUGGGGGAAUUUUGG